UACCAGCACCCCCGAGUGGUCGGGACGAUUAUUGGGCCUAAAGCAUCCGUAGCCGGUCAUGCAAGUCCUCCGUUAAAAUCCACCUGCUUAACAGAUGGGCUGCGGAGGAUACUACAAGGCUAGGAGGCGGAAGAGGCAAGCGGUACUCAGUGGGUAGGGGUAAAAUCCUCUGAUCCAUUGAAGACCACCAGUGGCGAAGGCGGCUUGCCAAUACGCGCUCGACGGUGAGGGAUGAAAGCUGGGGGAGCAAACCGG
rnacentral:rRNA from 1 species